rnacentral:rRNA from 1 species
UACGUAGGCAGCGAGCGUUGUUCGGAGUUACUGGGCGUAAAGAGUGCGUAGGCGGUUUUCUAAGUUUGGUGUGAAAUCUCCCGGCUUAACUGGGAGGGUGCGCCGAAAACUGGAAGGCUUGAGUAUGGGAGAGGUAAGCGGAAUUCCUGGUGUAGCGGUGAAAUGCGUAGAUAUCAGGAGGAACACCUGCGGUGUAGACGGCUUACUGGACCAUAACUGACGCUGAGGCACGAAAGCUAGGGGAGCAAACGGG